UACGUAGGUGGCAAGCGUUGUCCGGAUUUACUGGGCGUAAAGAGCGCGCAGGCGGCCAAGUCAGUCGAAUGUGAAAGCCCCCGGCUUAACUGGGGAGGGUCAUUCGAUACUGCUCGGCUCGAAGACAGGAGAGGGAAGCGGAAUUCCCGGUGUAGUGGUGAAAUGCGUAGAUAUCGGGAGGAACACCAGUGGCGAAGGCGGCUUUCUGGCCUGUUCUUGACGCUGAGGCGCGAAAAGCUAGGGGAGCAAACGGGG
rnacentral:rRNA from 1 species